rnacentral:misc_RNA from 1 species
GAUGAAGAACGUAGCGAAAUGCGAUAAGUAGUGUGAAUUGCAGAAUUCAGUGAAUCAUCGAAUCUUUGAACGCACAUUGCGCCCCUUGGUAUCCCGAGGGGCAUGCCUGUUCGAGCGUCAUUUCACCACUCAAGCCUGGCUUGGUGUUGGGCGACGUCCCCUUUGGGGACGCGCCUCGAAACGCUCGGCGGCGUGGCACCGGCUUUAAGCGUAGCAGAAUCUUUCGCUUUGGAAGUCGGGGCCCCGUCUGCCGGAAGACCUACUCGCAAGGUUGACCUCGGAUCAGGCAGGGAUACCCGCUGAACUUAAGCAUAUCAAUGAGCGGAGGA